rnacentral:lncRNA from 1 species
CCAGCGUAAUAUUAUUUCAAUGUCCAUGUUACUGCACAUUGUCAUUUUCUUCUUAUUAUUUUUGUUCUAAUUUUUUUUUUCUUUAUUUUGGGAAAAUUUAUUUUUUUAUUUUUUUGGCAAAAUUUCAUUUUUUUUUUUUAAAUUUUGGCCAAAUUUUAUUUAUCCCCGGGUGAACAAGGGUGGGGUGUUAUUUACACCGGGGUAGUCAACCAAUCAGAUUGCAGUAUUUUUGCUGCAUAAGAAAUAAAAAUC